CCGUCUCUAUUGUUAUCUCUAUUGCAAAUUUCCCCAAAAUAUUUCUCAGAACAAAGUUGAUGAUUGAAGAAAUUUUGCUUCACUUACCUGUUUACCACUUUUUCUUUCUUCUUUUUUGGUAAAGGUCAAUUUGGAGCUGUAUGUAUCGGAAUAUUUGUUAUGCCCUAGCUUAUUGAUACAUAAAUAUCCAAAUUAAAAAAUUUAACCUUUCUAAGUCUCAAUGUUCUCCAUUGUGAUUGCGAUCAACCAGACAAGUAGUUGAAAGUGAUUAAGAGCAUGCAUUGUUGCUUUGCUUCACGUUUUUUUUACUGAAUAACUGUUUCCACAAUUUACUCAACUUUUGAAUUAUAUGCAUUUUCCCUCACGUCAAAAAUACUUCUGAAACUCGAGACAUAAGCAGAACAGUGAAUACUUGGAGGGGAACUCAUAAAGAAGUCUAAUUUCAAAAUAAUUUAACUUAGGGGAGCAUUUCUUUUAUUAUUAUCUGAAUUAUAAUUUUUCAGAAAGAAGAAAGAGGACUAUCUUUUUUUGUUUAUCCCCCUUUUGUUUUAUAGUCUUUACCUAUCUUGCCCGGUUAAAAGCACAACUUGUGGUGUUUGGCAUAGGUGCAUGUUACAGGAACCUUACAAAGCCUGGUAUUUAACCCAUUAUCCACCGAGUUUCGAACCGUGUGUCACUUGGCCUCAGGAAUUCCUCAGAUAUUACCUAUCUUGUUUCAAGCUCAUAUAGUUAUCAACGGGCUAAUAUGUAUGUAUGGGUAAGAAUUGAUCUCUAAAGUGACUAUUAGUAUGCUGUGUAAGUACUUUUGUGGUAAUUUUUGUAUCAGUUGCAGAAACAAGCGGAUGUUGAAUAUAUAUGCAAAUUGCAUCGUGAUUAUGCCUCACGUAUAUCAUAUUUAAAACUGAUACUGUAAAUGAGUAAAUCUUGUUUUAAACAUAUACUCAAAAUUAUUGCUCAAGUAAGGGAUUUGUGCUUAAAGUUUCUGCUUGAAUAAAUGCUUAAGGAAUGAUAUCUGAAUGAAAUUUACAUUCUUCCCGCGCGUAACUGCAUCCUACUUUUUCUGCUCAUGCGGGACAUUGCUUAGCUUCAUUUGCUGUUAUUAAAACAAUGAAGAUCUUGUAUCCAAAAAAGUAGAUAUUCAAGGGUUGAGAGUAUUAGUGAAGAUCUGAUUCACUCUAUUUGGCCGUUCUUUAUGGUCCGGCCCUUCCCCGGACCCCGCGCAUAGCGGGAGCUUAGUGCACCGGGCUGCCCUUUUUUUUAAUUUUUUUUUAUCAUUGGAGGCAAGUGUAGGAGAGAACCUGACAAAGCAUUCCAGUGUACGCUACCUGCAUAAGAAAGAGAGAUCGACUGAUUGCUCAAAAAGCUUUUUCAUGCAAUAUGGUAUAAGGUGAAUGGGCUAUUGGGCUGAAUGGACCGAGUGGGCUGCGCCUGGGCCUGGAUCAGGCAGAAAUGAAUGUGGCGCAACUCAUCCGUUAAGGUAGCAUAUCUUGUUAACUCCAACAAUCACUACAAGCAAGAAAUCUCCAAUGGAAUUGAUUAAUAAAGUUCCACGUAUCAAAGCUCAGGGUAGGAUUGUUGCCUGUGAAGGAGAUACUAAUCCUGCUCUUAGGCAUUCAAUUGAGUUUAUAUGCCUUGAUCUGGAAGAGCAUGCAGUAUGCAAGUACUGUGGUUUACGCUAUGUUCAAGAUCGUCACCUCUAGAGCUACAUAACGGAACUUCCUGAAUUUGCAAAGAAGAGCCUUCUUCAUUUAUAAGCAAGCAGCUGUGGUGGUUAUUAUGUUUAGUUCCCAAGCUAUCAUUUAAUACUUAGCAUCUAUGGUGCAACAACUAUUAUGCUUCAGUGGUAGUGCUAGAAAAAGGUACCUGUUGAAGAAACUGGGGAAUCUAGUGAUCCACCACUGCUUCCUUGAGGGCAAUAAAGUGGCAAACAUUUUGGCUCAACAAUCAUCUAAGGGAGUUCUAUCCAACCAUCAGUCCAUCUUCUCAUCACCGCUGCACUAUGUUGAUAAGGAAAUGCAGGCUGACCAGGAAGGAAUAGGCACUACUAAUAACUAUCUCUACUUGUAGUAAUCUGUCUAGUUUUUAUAACUUAAGUGUACUUAGUGACCCUAACGUGAAUGGUCACCACUCUACUAAUGUAAUGACUGUUUUUUAUACAUAUAUAUAUCCUUUCUACCAAAAAAGAAAAAAAAGAAGCAUCCAUUUUGUUAAUGCACGAGCUCAGCCACUGCUUUACUGCUGCAAGUCGGCAUUUCUCAGGUUAGCCAAACAGAAAUAUUAAUGA